rnacentral:rRNA from 1 species
GACGAACGCUGGCGGCGUGCCUAAUACAUGCAAGUUGAGCGCUGAAGGUUGGUACUUGUACCAACUGGAUGAGCAGCGAACGGGUGAGUAACGCGUGGGGAAUCUGCCUUUGAGCGGGGGACAACAUUUGGAAACGAAUGCUAAUACCGCAUAAAAACUUUAAACACAAGUUUUAAGUUUGAAAGAUGCAAUUGCACCACUCAAAGAUGAUCCCGCGUUGUAUUAGCUAGUUGGUGAGGUAAAGGCUCACCAAGGCGAUGAUACAUAGCCGACCUGAGAGGGUGAUCGGCCACAUUGGGACUGAGACACGGCCCAAACGCCUACGGGAGGCAGCAGUAGGGAAUCUUCGGCAAUGGACGAAAGUCUGACCGAGCAACGCCGCGUGAGUGAAGAAGGUUUUCGGAUCGUAAAACUCUGUUGGUAGAGAAGAACGUUGGUGAGAGUGGAAAGCUCAUCAAGUGACGGUAACUACCCAGAAAGGGACGGCUAACUACGUG